GGAGAGGUGACCGAGCGGCCGAAGGUGCACGACUGGAAAUCGUGUGUAUCGAAAGGUACCGGGGGUUCGAAUCCCCCCCUCUCCGCCA
rnacentral:tRNA from 2 species